rnacentral:rRNA from 1 species
CCUACGGGGGGCUGCAGUGGGGAAUAUUGGACAAUGGGGGGAACCCUGAUCCAGCCAUGCCGCGUGUGUGAAGAAGGCCCUCGGGUUGGAAAGCACUUUCAGUGAGGAAGAACGCCUGGUGGUUAAUACCCAUCAGGAAAGACAUCACUCACAGAAGAAGCACCGGCUAACUCCGUGCCAGCAGCCGCGGUAAUACGGAGGGUGCGAGCGUUAAUCGGAAUUACUGGGCGUAAAGCGCGCGUAGGUGGCUUGAUAAGCCGGUUGUGAAAGCCCCGGGCUCAACCUGGGAACGGCAUCCGGAACUGUCAAGCUAGAGUGCAGGAGAGGAAGGUAGAAUUCCCGGUGUAGCGGUGAAAUGCGUAGAGAUCGGGAGGAAUACCAGUGGCGAAGGCGGCCUUCUGGACUGACACUGACACUGAGGUGCGAAAGCGUGGGUAGCAAACAGGAUUAGAUACCCUUGUAGUC